rnacentral:rRNA from 1 species
AGUGAACGCUGGCGGUAGGCCUAACACAUGCAAGUCGAACGGCAGCACAGUAAGAGCUUGCUCUUAUGGGAGGCGAGUGGCGGACGGGUGAGGAAUACAUCGGAAUCUACUUUUUCGUGGGGGAUAACGUAGGGAAACUUACGCUAAUACCGCAUACGACCUACGGGUGAAAGCAGGGGAUCUUCGGACCUUGCGCGAUUGAAUGAGCCGAUGUCGGAUUAGCUAGUUGGCGGGGUAAAGGCCCACCAAGGCGACGAUCCGUAGCUGGUCUGAGAGGAUGAUCAGCCACACUGGAACUGGGACACGGUCCAGACUCCUACGGGAGGCAGCAGUGGGGAAUAUUGGACAAUGGGCGCAAGCCUGAUCCAGCCAUACCGCGUGGGUGAAGAAGGCCUUCGGGUUGUAAAGCCCUUUUGUUGGGAAAGAAAAGCAGCAGGUUAAUACCCCGCUGUUCUGACGGUACCCAAAGAAUAGGCACCGGCUAACUUCGUG